GUACCCUAUAUUUGAUAAUCUUUUUUUUUGACAUAGCACCCCUGUUUUACAUAAAGAUGUGCAAACUAGUCUAUCGUGACUCGUGUUGCUCUGAGCGCACUUCGAUUGGUUGAUUGUACGCUAAUGUGUUUGGCCUUGUGACACACCAUAUCACAGUAAUAUGUCAACGUUUUUAGAAUGUUUUGUAUUGAUAAUGGAGAUAGUGUUUGACGGAUGUCAACGUUUAUCGCCUGUAAUUUAAUAUGGUCUAUUAAAUGAAAUUUUACAUUUGUUAAACUUUAAAGAUUAUACAUUUCAAUCUUACACCAGUAUUUGGCGCAUUUCUUAGCAUGGUAGGUAGUAGGCACCUAAUUUGAUCGCUUACUUCAGCAUCACUCAUCAGCUAUAAUUUCUUAUACGAAUUUUCUGUUACGGUAUACUGAAAAAAUUAGUUGUGUGCUCAACGUGCGAUCACUAGUAUACCUACUUACUUGUAGUUACCGAAUAUACGUCCGGCAGUGAUUUAAUAUACAAAAAAUAAAAUAAAUGAUCUUUUAUACUAAUAAACUCAAUUUGACGCAUAAAUGCACAAAAUUUUCUAUGGUGCACCUCAUCUGAUAUAGUUGAUCAUUUCAUGACUUUUUUACAAUUCAUGACUUUUCUUGAUGAUUUUAUCAUAUUUUUAAGAACAAUUUUAUUAUUAUAUUAUAUUAGAUUUAUAAUUAGGAUGAAAAUUGACUAAACGUAACUUAAGCAGGAUUGUAUUUUGAUAAAAUAGCUAUUUAUUAGAGUUUUUUUAAAACUGACUUUUCACCAGUAAUAAGUGUGCUACAUUUGAACAGUAACGUGAUAAUAUACAGUGUAUUUAAAUAAGAAUAAUAUUUCUAGAAAAUUGAACUUUUUUUUGGAGAUUUCUAUUUAUGUAAGUAUUCCUAUUUAACAGUGUGGUAUAUUUUAACAGCAUAUUAUAUGCAGUAUACUUAAGUGUAUUUAAAUAAGAAUAUUUUAAAGUAAGUUUUUCGUCAGAGAUUUCUAUUUAUGUAGGUAGACAAAUAUAAAGCCAUUCUAACUUGGGAUUGGUGACGUCUCAAAUUAACCCAACGGUAAGAAAGUCUAGUCUGCCUUGUUGAGCCGACAUGGCAAAUGAUUAAUUUUAUUUUAUUUAUAUCUACCUUUUCAAUUUUUGUGUUUAAAUUUUGAUUCACAUUCCACCGUGCCACAGGCGGGUCGAGCCCGUGCCGUGUCGAUAUAUGUACUCAUAUUAUGAGCUACGUAACGAGACUGUGGCCCGGUUUCGACCUACCGCUUAGGUUAGGUUCCAAAGCAGGGUACUCACCUAGCCGUAUAGCAUGUAACGUAUCUGAUACUGUAUCAACCUGCAAGCCGCCUUUGUGUUCGCAGUGAUACCGCCACUCGGCGGGUCACUGCGCUCCACGCGUGAGUGGCUCGCAGCGGGCUCAUGCCUACGUACUCGAUUCAGUACCAGAUACGUUACAUGCUAUAUGGCUAGGUGAGUACCCUGCUAUAUGGGCAGCCAAGGAGCUACGUAACAAGACUGUGGCCCGGUUUCCACCUAAGGCUUAGAUUAGGUUCUAAGCGGAGCGCUGGGGAGCUAAUGUGUUCAGUCGACCAAUCAUAUCAGAUUUUUAAGAUGACGUGAUAAUUUUUUUACAUCUGCAUCAUUAAGAAUCUGAUAAGUCGACUGAACACAUCUCUGGUCCGAAUUAAGUGGGAACCGGGUUUCAUGGGAGACCGAAGCACAACGUGGCUCUGACACCGUGUAAUGUGAAUCAUCCUUAAUCAAGAAUUACUGCGUUAUUAGAUAAUUUUUAUUAGAAAUAAGUUUCAAAUUAGUGUAGUAGACAUUAAGUCUAAAUCUUAGGGAUUAUUGGUAAUAUCGGGCGUAAGGCGGGUAUACAUUGACAGACAUGAUCCGAACGACACGCUAUUCAAAAGUACUCGUAAAAGUUUAAUUAAAUAAAAAUAUUUUUAUUUGUUUAUUUAUUUAUGGAUCUUCCAACUUACAUAUCUGAUCUAUUUAUUGAAGCUUCUAAAAGGCUGCCGUGUUUCCACGGCCGCUGCCUAUACAUUUUCUUUUUUGAAAACAUAGCAUGGUAUGUGUAUGGCUUUAAAUAGAAGCUUAUUUCGUAUGCUGGUCUAAUUGUACAUUUUUAACAAUUUAAUUAUAUACACUAUAGUAUAUACCCGCCCUUAAACUGAUUCAAAAAAAUAUAUUAUUAGGUAUCUAGAUUUUUCAUGUUAGACUAGCAAUGAAGAUUACACAUCCUGUGAAGGAUUAGAAUUCUUAUUUAAAUAAAAUAUCGUAAAAUCUUUAGUUUAAUCAUUUGUAACCCACAUACUUAGGGUAAGGUCAAGUGUCCACCAUACGAAGUGGCAAUAAAACUUGCAGAUAAUAGUUCUGGCAAGUCACAUGCACUAAUAAAACACUAACUUGCAACAUGUCCAUUUUAGCUUAGUUUCAGCAGGUGAUACUUGUAUAAUUAAAGUGAUAUGACAGUGACAGCGUCUUCUGAAAGUUUUAAUGCUAGUGGAUACUUAGGGUAAUUUUAGUUGGUAUGGAGUGGUGAUAUUCUGUUCGAUAUAUUCACAUUCAAUCACAAUUUCUUAAAUGAUAAAAAAGAAAGUAAUGUAAUCCUGACAGAAAAAUCUAAAAUACCUGAAAAUUAUCAGUUACAAUGUCUUCUUUUACUUGAGUUUUGGGGAAAUAAAUACACUAGUUAGAUUGUGCAAAAUGAACUUUUAUUUUCCAUUAAGAGUUGAAAAAUACUAGCAUAAUAUGAAUAUUACGUAUUUGAUAAAUGGUUCAAGAAUUCAAAUAAGUUACCACCGCUAAAUGCAAAUUUUUCCGUUUUCUAAUUUAUUAGGCUUUUUUAAUGGUACCUACCUUGUGGUAUGCUCACCUUAACAGUUAAGCUAAGAUUCAGUUAUAUUAAUGGUAUUGUGUGGUUAAUUUCAAGCUGCUGCUUUGAGCAAAUGUAAAUUCGCGAUAGCGCGGGUCACGUGUGGGUGUGUGGGGUGUCCCCCUGCCUUAUACGCCGAUUGCCAUGUCGACUUGUCGCGAACUAAACAUCCUUAUUCCUGUUAAAUACUAAGGCACGUCCACACCGCUAACCAUAAAUUCUCUAAUUAUUUUCGCCCAAUACGACCUAUAACGGAAGUUUUAUCUGGUGUGGACGUGACUUUAUAUUACUUAAGUUAGGUACAUUAAUAGGCGAACAAAACGGUCGGUGUGAUGAAAUAUUACAGCAGCAAAAAACUGAAAGAAAGCUCUUGAAUUACAUAAUUAUGCCAAUUUGAUCGAAAUCACGAACUUUGGACUCAAUUUUGGCAUAGUCUUACUUGAAGAUAAGUUCAGAUUUGUAUUUAGUGAGUCAAAAACAUGUGGUUUAAAAAAAAAGUAUUUUUAGCAGAAAUGUAAUUAGGUAACCGUUUUGCUCGCCGGUUUCCAAUAUAUUAAUGUCGCCGCUAGGUACCAUGAUUACUGAUCUAUACUUUUAUUUUUACUAUUUAUCUGCUAUGAUAACCCACGGUUUAUCUAUUUUCUAUUUAAAGUCUGUUCAUCUUAUUAUGCCAGAUUUAUUGCCGUAAAAAUUAAAAAUUAAGUUUCAAAGAUUUUAGUCUGGACAAGUUAUGAAACUAUGUUAGAAAAAUAAAUAGGUAAGUACAAAUAAGUUAGUAGCAACCGAUACUUUUUAUGUUUAUGUGGAGUCGCAAAUAAGAUUUUAAUGGCAUCUAUGCUCAUUGCUUGUACUUGCUCAAAAACAGAAUUCAUAGUUUUAUUAACAUUCCACAUUAUAAUUAUAUGAAAACACAGCAGAAGCUUUUAGCUUUAGAAGUUUUUUAGAAGAAGAGUUUAGCUAAGUUUUACUUUUUACUACUUAGAGAUUAUUGAGAUAGUAUGUCACACAUAUUUUACACGAGAAAAGAUAUUUUUUUAGAAAUUGAAAUACUUAGUUAUCUUUGUAUAAAUACCUAGAAUCGUUAGUCUUUUACCUACCGCUCGUCCUUUUAA